rnacentral:rRNA from 1 species
UACGGAGGGUGCAAGCGUUGUUCGGAAUCAUUGGGCGUAAAGCGCGUGUAGGCGGUCUUGUAAGUCUGAUGUGAAAGCCCGGGGCUCAACCCCGGAAGUGCAUUGGAUACUGCUUGACUAGAGGACGGGAGAGGGAAGUGGAAUUCCAGGUGUAGGGGUGAAAUCCGUAGAUAUCUGGAGGAACAUCGGAAGCGAAGGCGGCUUCCUGGCCCGUAACUGACGCUGAGACGCGAAAGCGUGGGGAGCAAACAGG